CUCAAUAGCUCAGCUGGUAGAGCAGGUCCUUCGUAAGUAGCGGGUCCGUCCGCAAUUGACGUUUGAGACCA
rnacentral:tRNA from 1 species